GUGUUGGUGGCCACUGUCUGUCUAGGUGUAGGGAUGUGCCUGGCCGGUGUCACUGUGCACGGAGUCGGACACUCAAUCGGAGAGGGUUACUUCUAAAAUGACUCCACUUCAACUAGAGAGGGAGGGUUUAGAUGACUAACUCCACUUCAACUCCCUGUAGAUUGUUGUUAGCGCGCCGCACGAGCAGAUGCACCAUCUCUGAGAGAACGUCAAACUGCCACAGAAACAUUUUACCUGAAACUCAUUUCGCUGAGCGAUUUUCCAGCCAGACUAUCGGUUCAGAACAACUACAUAGCCACGUUUAUAUGAUGACAGACUCAGGUUCAGAACUGCUGAUGAGCUGCGGUCAGGAGACGUUACAGUUGAGCAAGGAGUUGGAGCAAAUGGUUGAGGCUAUGGAGAACAUAUCAGUGCAGCUUAGCUGGAUGGCGUAUGACAUGGUGGUGCUGCGUACAGACCCAGGCCACGCCCAGGCGCUCUGUCAGCUGCAGGAGGCGCAUCACCUCUGUGAGGCAGCCGUGCGCACCCAGCCCACACCCCCCUCCACCCCACCCCCCACCACCCUGUAGCUGCACUGGACAACCACCUCCAUCCCCUCCACCGUGUAGCUGCACUGGACUCCCAUCACCAUAACCACCACCCUGUAGCUGCACUGGACUCCCAUCACCAUCACCUCCACCCUGUAGCUG